GCAAGUCGAACGGUAACAGGCCCUUCGGGGUGCUGACGAGUGGCGGACGGGUGAGUAACGCGUAGGAAUCUGCCCAAUAGUGGGGGACAACCCGGAGAAAUCCGGGCUAAUACCGCAUACGCCCUACGGGGGAAAGGAGGGGACCUCUUCGGAGACCUUUCGCUAUUGGAUGAGCCUGCGUCGGAUUAGCUUGUUGGUAGGGUAAUGGCCUACCAAGGCAACGAUCCGUAGCUGGUCUGAGAGGACGAUC
rnacentral:rRNA from 1 species